UUUUUUUAUUUUCAAAUUUUUAAUAUUUAUUUUUUAUUUUAUAAAAUUUUAAACCCUAAGGUUUGGAUUAGUUAAACCUAGGGGUAUAAGUGUAUAUUUACCUCUUUAAUGAAAUAUUUUGGUCAUUUUGAUUUUUAAAGUCUAUAUUUAUGAUAUAAUUUUUUUUAGUACUAUCUUAUAGUAUUUCCCAUCCUAAAACUAUAAAAUAUUAUUUUUAUAUUUUUUUAUUAAAUUAAUCAUCAAACAAAACCUGUUGUAACGCAGGUGCUCAAGUAUCUAUAGCCAAAAUAAAUAUUGGUGCCUAGAGGAAUUGCACACAAAAAUAUGGGCCUUUAGUCGGCCUAAUAUGAAAGGGCUAAGAUUUUAACUAUUGGGCUGUGUUGGAAGCAAAACCCUAAAAAGAUGUUGUAGCGGCUACUCGGUAAGGAAAACCCUAAUGCGCCUGUGUCGUAUAAAUAUGGUUCUUCUUCUAAAAUAAAUUGAAACAGCAUAGCUGCUUGCUUCUAUAUAUUUUCUUUCUGCUUAGCUUUACAAUGAACAGUAGGAGUUCUUUUCAUUGUUUUCUCUGGGGUUAUAUUGAUUUUGUUUUUUGGAUUUGUGGCGGGUAGGAAGAAGGGAUAUGGUGAUGAAACGAAUAAUUUCGUGGACUAGAGUUUCCGAUCUGGGCUCUUCACCCAGUAGUUGACGAUACAUCCCUUGGCUGUCUGAGUAUCCCUCUUCUUUACACUCCCGCCUCCACCACAAUCAUAUUUGCUUUUUUGACAUUCUUUUUAGAUUAGCCGAUGAGGAUAAAAACAAUUAUCUUAGCGGAUUUCAGUGAGGUUUUAAAUCAAUGAUCUGAAUUGUUACACACACUGAGGCUGUUUUUAUUUGAUAAAUAAUUUGAAUCGUUUCUCUGAUUUAUUGUUUUGAUGCGAUGAUGAUGAAACUGCACGGAGGUGCACGAAGGGCAGUGGACAAAACAUAAACUGUUUUGCCGUGAGCUCUCUUAUUUAAACGACUUCUCCUUCCACUGAGCAUUAAUUAGAUAUUUUCAAUUUGUUCUUUAUAUUAUGGUAUAUAUGGUGGAAAGGAGGCGUCUUUUACCAAUUCUGAAGGAUAAAAACAGUUCCUUUAGGUAUAAUGGCAUUGACGCAAUAUUGAUUUGUGGUAUAUCCUGAUCAUUUGGCCUUUUCUAUGUUUUUUGAUCCUGGAAAUGCCUCGCAUAUUAUCUCUUGCACUUAAGUUGUAUACAUUGCCAUUGGUUGAUUUCUAGCAUACCUCCUCAUUAAAGUGAUGUCAACUUAGUUUGUAAUUUCCUCACUUGUUGAUGAGUAAGUAACACUAAAAGCUUUAUGAAUGAGACUCAAAGUUACUGAUUUGAACCUGGAUCCGCAUGACCUGAUUCUUCACUUUCAAUGUCAUGACCUAACAUUGACUUUCAACCUUUUAAAAGUUACGGAACUUGUCAAAUUUAAAAUAUGUUGAUCUGAAUAAAAUAGUACUAGAUCUAGUGUUGUAGCCAAAUUUGAUAAAAUUCACAACUGUAGGCAGGCAUAUUUGGCUAAACUGUAGUGAUCUGUGAGAUUGGUGAGCUUUGAGAACCACUCCGAUGGGUAAUUGAUGACCAACAAUUCACAAGAAAAGACUAAGAAUGAAAUUUUCGAAAGCUAAUUAAGUUGAUUAGAGGAACCCGCAUAAAUUCUUUCAGUGGUUAUAUGAGCUGGAUGAUUGAUCUAUGAACAGAUUGAACAACAAAAAGAUACUAAGUGACAACACAAAGCAAUGAUUGUGAAAAAAGACCCGUCUGGCUUGGUGGCUGGCUUGUUUAGCCUUUUUUAUUUGGCUUUCUAUUAUUAGUUUGAGUAAGAGACAAACGGUAAAAAAAAUUACCGAGGAAUAGUUUGAUUACAGAAUUUAAAAUUAACAAAGAUUUGGUGUAUGGUUUUAGUAGAAGUCUGUAUGUACUAAUUCCAAACCGUUUUCAUGUUUAAAUGUAAGAAAAUAGCCGAUUUCCUCAAACAUUAGAGAAGCUAUAAAACACGCAUCCAACUUUUGUUUCUUUUUUGAAUAAGAUGUUAAAUUCGAUUCAAAAGAAAUACAGCAUAGCUAUUUUUUUUUUUGGCUCAACAUUAACUUUUCAUUAACCUAACUGUUUAGUACAAUCAAAUUGUAACCACAUUGCUUUAGCAGAGAUUUUAACCACUUGUGAUCUAAUGGAUGAAGAUAUAGUAUCACCUAGGCUCACUCAUUUGAAACCUACGUUACCUUAUCAAUCAUCCGAUCACUUAAACCACCAUGAGAACAAACUCAUUUUACCACAAACAAUCAAAAUGAGUUGUCUCUUACACCACACUAUUACAGGGACAUAACUAAAACCUGAAACUAAGCUCUAAACGAUGAAUACAAAUAAGACCGAAGCCAGCGAUCACCGUUUGAUUGGAAUUAAGACCUUGGAUCAUACCGGCUCAACACCGAGGCGCAUGUUCCUCACUCAGGCCCGCUUUAGGUUGCAGUCAAUAUCCCAAGCCUUAUUCAGCGGAUGCAAAACCAGUGAAUCGAUUUUAAUGGGUUUGUACCUUGCUUGGCAAUUUCGUUUCAUAACAAAAUAGGCUCCCCACCAGAUUGGUGCUUAAACUACCACCAAGGACUUCUCCAUCUCAUGAUUCAUGGGCUUGAUCCUUAACAGAGCCGCCGGGACAAGACUAAAACUCCACCAACAAGUUGAGAAGCUUCAAGUAGCCUGGAAUGAAGAAAAGCGGGUACGGAUAACAGAACCACCGGAGCUCUUCCAACAAACUGCAUAAGAACAAAGAAGCUUCGGGGAAUAACAGCCAAAAAACGAUCUGUCAUCGUCGAAACAGAUCGGAGCGGCCAAGGGAAAAUUGCUCCGACCCAGUUCCAAACCCUAAAAGCCGACCUCCGAUGAACGGCCAUCUUCCUGACUCAACUCGCCAUGACUCCAGAGGCCCAGGAACCACCUGUGACAAGCAUCAAGCAGCCAAAUCUGAGAUCUGAAGAACUGAAGAGACCAGAGACCAUAUGCAUCUCGAAGAGGGGAAGAGGCGUCGUCAAAGGCAAAGGAAAAAAGGAGAUUAAGGGAAAGAAGCGGGUCUCCGGCGGCGUCGACUCCGCGGUCGACGCCGGAAAGGAACGGCGGCGAUUAGGGUUCUCUAACUCUCUCUCUCUCUCUCUCUCUCUUGACCUGUUUUUGUGUUAUACAACAUAGCUUUUUUGUUUCUUACUUGUUUUUUUUAAACGACAAAAGAAUAGAAAAAUUGUGUCUUCGAUCCAUUCUUGAAACGCCAUGUCCAGUCUCUUGUCCAGAGUUCGAACGGAGGCUCAUGGGAUUCUACUAGUGAUGCAAUGGAAGCAAGAGCAAGUUGGCCAAUGUAGUCCUCAAACAACUCGCUUCCAAAGAGCAUGCCAAACACAGCUGCAGGAUCCAUUGCAUCCCUGCACCAAAAAAAAAAAAAAAAAAUUGACAUGAGUAUGGGAAUAGCAAUUAAGCAUUAACACCAGUCACAUGAUAUAUACUUUUAAGCGAAAGAGAAACUUACUGUUGAACACCUUCUUUGCCAUAGUUAUCAUAGGCAGUUCGCUUCUCGGGAUCGCUAAGAACAUGGUAAGCUUCACCUCGUGCUUUCAUUCACAUAAGCAGUGUUAAAAGUAUUCGAGAGUGAAUUUAAACAAGUAAUCCUAGUGAAGCAAACUUAUAAGGUAGCAUUUUGUCUCAUGAUUAAUCACCUGAAAGUUUUUAGCAGCUUGAGGAUCAUUAGGGUUCUUGUCUCGAUGAACUUGCCUUGCCUGCCCACAUUAAA